UACGGGGGGGGCAGGCGUUGUUCGGAAUUACUGGGCGUAAAGGGCGCGUAGGCUGUUUGCUAAGUUGGAUGUGAAAACUCUGGGCUUAACCCAGAGCCUGCAUCCAAAACUGGCAGGCUGGAGUUUUGGAGGGGGAAGCGGAAUUCCUGGUGUAGCAGUGAAAUGCGUAGAUAUCAGGAGAAACACCGGUGGCGAAGGCGGCUUCCUGGACAAAAACUGACGCUGAGGCGCGAAAGCUAGGGGAGCAAACAGG
rnacentral:rRNA from 1 species